rnacentral:rRNA from 1 species
AGCAGCCGCGGUAAUUCCAGCUCCAAUAGCGUAUAUUAAAGUUGUUGCAGUUAAAAAGCUCGUAGUUGAAUUUCGGGAUUGACGUGACGGUCGUGCCUUACGGGGUAUGAACUGUCGCCGUUGAUUUCUCACCUUCUGGAGAAGCUCGAUGUCCUUAGUUGGGUGUCUUGCGGAACCAGGACCUUUACCUUGAAAAAUUAGAGUGUUUAAAGCAGGCAUUUUGCUCGAAUACAUUAGCAUGGAAUAAUAGAAUAGGACGGCAUGGUUCUAUUUUGUUGGUUUCUAGGAUCACCGUAAUGAUUAAUAGGGAUAGUUGGGGGCAUUAGUAUUCAAUUGUCAGAGGUGAAAUUCUUGGAUUUAUUGAAGACUAACUACUGCGAAAGCAUUUGCCAAGGAUGUUUUCAUUAAUCAAGAACGGAAGUUAGGGGAUCGAAGACGAUCAGAUACCGUCGUAGUCUUAACCAUAAACUAUGCCGACUA